rnacentral:rRNA from 1 species
UACGAAGGGGGCUAGCGUUGCUCGGAAUUACUGGGCGUAAAGGGCGCGUAGGCGGAUCAGCAAGUUGGGGGUGAAAGCCCGGGGCUCAACCCCGGAAUGUCUUUCGAAACUGGCCAGCUCGAGUGCGGAAGAGGCAACUGGAAUUCCCAGUGUAGCGGUGAAAUGCGUAGAUAUUGGGAAGAACACCUGAGGCGAAGGCGGGUUGCUGGGCCGACACUGACGCUGAGGCGCGAAAGCCAGGGGAGCAAACGGG